rnacentral:rRNA from 1 species
CAGUAGCCGCGGUAAUACGAGGGGGGCAAGCGUUGUUCGGAAUUAUUGGGCGUAAAGGGUGCGUAGGCGGCUUGACAAGUCUUGUGUGAAAUCUAUGGGCUCAACCCAUAGUCUGCACGGGAAACUGUCGGGCUUGAGAAUUGGAGAGGUGAGUGGAAUUUCCGGUGUAGCGGUGAAAUGCGUAGAUAUCGGAAGGAACACCUGUGGCGAAAGCGGCUCACUGGACCAUUUCUGACGCUGAUGCACGAAAGCUAGGGGAGCAAACAGGAUUAGAUACCCCCGUAGUCCCUGUCUCUUAUAC